AUUACCGGUACUCAAAUACAAAAAUAACAAAAGUAAUCAUAGUAAUCAAAUAAUUUUUAUCCCUUAAACAGAUCGGUGAAGGUCGUUGUUAUAUCGGAAUACCUAUACAAAAUACCUACCUACUGAGAAAUACGAUUCUCGAUAUGAUUACCGGUACUCAAAUACAAAAAUAACAAAAGUAAUCAUAGUAAUCAAAUCAUUUUUAUCCCUUAAACAGAUCGGUGAAGGUCGUUGUUAUAUCGGAAUACCUAUACAAAAUACCUACCUACUGAGAAAUACGAUUCUCGAUAUGAUUACCGGUACUCAAAUACAAAAAUAACAAAAGUAAUCAUAGUAAUCAAAUCAUUUUUAUCCCUUAAACAGAUCGGUGAAGGUUGUUGUUAUAUCGGAAUACCUAUACAAAAUACCUACCUACUGAGAAAUACGA